AUUGAACGCUGGCGGAAUGCUUUACACAUGCAAGUCGAACGGCAGCACGGACUUCGGUCUGGUGGCGAGUGGCGAACGGGUGAGUAAUAUAUCGGAACGUGCCCAGUCGUGGGGGAUAACGUAGUGAAAAUUACGCUAAUACCGCAUACGAUCUACGGAUGAAAGCGGGGGAUAGCAAGACCUCGCGCGAUUGGAGCGGCCGAUAUCAGAUUAGGUAGUUGGUGAGGUAAAGGCUCACCAAGCCAACGAUCUGUAGCUGGUCUGAGAGGACGACCAGCCACACUGGAACUGAGACACGGUCCAGACUCCUACGGGAGGCAGCAGUGGGGAAUUUUGGACAAUGGACGCAAGUCUGAUCCAGCCAUUCCGCGUGCAGGACGAAGGCCUUCGGGUUGUAAACUGCUUUUGUACAGAACGAAAAGGUCUCUAUUAAUACUAGGGGCUCAUGACGGUACUGUAAGAAUAAGCACCGGCUAACUCCGUGAAAGG
rnacentral:rRNA from 1 species